rnacentral:rRNA from 1 species
CGGAGGUACUCGAGUGGCGAACGGGUGAGUAACACGUGGGUGAUCUGCCCUGCACUCUGGGAUAAGCCUGGGAAACUGGGUCUAAUACCGGAUAGGACCAUGCUUUAGUGUGUGUGGUGGAAAGUUUUUUCGGUGUAGGAUGAGCCCGCGGCCUAUCAGCUUGUUGGUGGGGUAAUAGCCUACCAAGGCGGCGACGGGUAGCCGGACUGAGAGGUUGGUCGGCCACAUUGGGACUGAGAUACGGCCCAG